UCUUCCCGCAUCGGAGGAGUAAGCUGGUUCUGUCCCGAGAACAUCUCUACAAGGUAAUUGGUGUGGAGAAGAUUGACCUCAGCCUUGCUUUGAACAUUGUUCCAAAGGCUCUGUAGUAAAUGGUGAGUAUUCAAAUGUUUUGUGUGAUUUACUUGACUAACUUAAACUUGAUCUUUAACUAAUUGAAAACUGGUAUUAGUCUGACCAUUUCAGAAUAUUUAUUCAUAACAUUUACAUACUGCAAACAUUGCAGGGAGAUACACAUUUUCUGAUUUAUUAGGCAAAAGUUAUUCAGAAAGUGAGAGGCAAAAGCCAAACAUUCUGUGAUAAAGCCUCCUUCACAAAAGUGAUAAUGUUUUGUUUGUUGAAAUGGCUAUAAGGGUGUUUCUUAUAUGUAGUCUUAUAUUACAGUAAUACUUAUUUUAAGUCGCUUUGGAAAAAAACGUAAACUAAAUGAAAUGUAACCUGGUUGUUCGUACUUGAUAUAAAAAGUUAUUCUCACUAUGGAGCCAAAACAGGAGUAAUGUGGUCCCUUCUCCGUGCUCUGGUCAAUACAUUUUGAAUCAGCUGAAGCAACUUAACUGACUUUUUGGUACACCCUGAUAAUAAAGAGUUACAAUAAGCUAGCCUUGAAGUAACAAAUGCAUGGACUAGUUUCUCUGCAGCGUUUUGAGGCAAGCACACAACUACAAUCAUAACAUCAUUAGAAAAUGAAAUGAUUUCAUGAUUUUUAUGACUGUGAUAUUUUGUUUUCUUUGAUAAAUGCGGAGUUUAAGCGCAUAACAACCCUGCCCCUCCAAUCAAGAGUUCUCUCUCAGCUGGAUGUGCUAUCUGACACACUUCUGAAGGUUUUGGAGAAGAGAGGAGGACAGAUAGGCCAUCGUCUGAACUGUAUUAUGUCAAACAUGACUCAAGUUGAUGAUGUCGAUUUAGGCCGGGAUUGUCUUCUCAAGGGGCUGUGUGUGUACCUCAAUGAGAGAGUUUGUGGCAGAAGAUGAAGACGUCAUUCUGCGGUCCAUUCAGGGGAUUACAGUGGGACUUUAUGUCGUCAAACACAAUUCCACCAUGAGACCAGAGGACAGGUGAGACCAGAGGACAGAUGAGACCAGAGGACAGAUGAGACCAGAGGACAGAUGAGACCAGAGGACAGAUUGUCCUGGAAGGCCAACAGGUACUAACUGAUGUGGACAACAUUGCAUUAGCUGCUACCAUGCUGUUUGGACUAAUGUAUGCAAUGAACCUGAACUACCCCCCUAAACUGAAGUGCACGUUCGAAGUGCUCCAGCAAAUGUUAAUGGAGCUAGACGGCAACAUGCUCUCCAAGAAAGCCCAAGCGUUUAAAAACAAACUGUUUGAGUGAGCUGUUGCCAUGGACCAUUGUGCACUUUUACAGCAUUCAUACUGGACUUUCAUCGAUACAACUGUCUUUUUGCUUGAUUUGCAUGUUUCAGAAAUGUGUGUUUUUCCUGGGGUCAUGUGUUUUCAGAAUGUACCACUUGUCAUGUGUUUCAGAAUGUACUAAUUGCACUAAUUGUACUAAUGUACUAACUUCAAAAUGUCAGUUCUUGUUUUUAUUUGUAAUACUUUCUUUAGUGCAUAUGUGGUGAGAAACCAGGCCAUUAUUAUACUCCCAUGUAUUUUUCCAAAGCAAUGCCAUUGCUUUUUUGUAUUAAAGUGCCCUUUCAUAUUAGCAGGUUACUAUUUAAAUAAUGGAUUUGCAAGAACAUUUCCUUUUUUCGGCUAGACGUUGACAUUUUCUGUUAACUGUUUACUAUGAAUGAGUUACACAAAUAAGCCUUUCUCUGCCAUUUGGCCCAAUAAACCUUUAUUUUGGUCGGGAGAAUAGUUUCCUUUAAGCUUCCUUGCUGUGUUCUAACACAAUAAUGCAUAUGUACAUGCAUCACAAACAUUUUCUAUUUCUUUAUUUUCAAUGUAUUUGUUAAUUCUCCUGGGGCUGCAUGAUGGAAAAACCAAAAGCUCAUCUGGAUGUGUGGUGGUUGUUAAUAUUGUUUUAUUUUUUAUACAUGAAUGUUGUUCAAAAAAAUGUGUUUGUCUUUAUUGACUAUUUGUUUUAAAAUGUUAUGAUAAAUGCUGUAGAUAAGAGAUUAGGAUGGAUCCUGUAGAAGAAUGUACGACAUGCCUCUAUUCACAUGAAAUAAAUAAUCUUAUGUACCCCUUGAGCACUAGGUAGAUUAAACAGAAAACUAUAGCAUGUAGUUUAAACAAAACAUUCAUGUGGCUUUAACAGGUACAAAUGAAAUAUACUGAGUAUAUUAAAAGCCUAAA